UCGGGGUGCAGCAGGCGCGAAAACUCCGCAAUGCGCGAAAGCGUGACGGGGGAACCCCAAGUGCCGUUGGACUUUUGUUCGACGGCUUUUAUGGAGUCUAGGAAGCUCCAGGAAUAAGGGCUGGGUAAGUCGGGUGCCAGCCGCCGCGGUAAUACCCGCAGCCCAAGUGGUGGUCGCGAUUAUUGGGCCUAAAGCGCUCGUAGCCGGGUUGGUAAGUCCCUUGUGAAAUCGGGCGGCUUAACCGUUCGGCUUGCAAGGGAUACUGCUAGUCUUGAGGCCGGGAGACGUCGAGGGUACUCUGAGGGUAGCGGUGAAAUGCUCUAAUCCUCGGGGGACCACCAGUGGCGAAGGCGCUUGACGAGAACGGACCUGACGGUGAGGGGCGAAGGCUAGGGGAGCGAACGGGAUUAGAUACCCCGGUAGUCCUAGCUGUAAAGUAUGCGGGCCAGGUGUCUGGUGUUCCUUGAGAGCACUAGGUGCCGGAGAGAAGUCGUUAAGCCCGCCGCCUGGGAAGUACGGUCGCAAGGCUGAAACUUAAAGGAAUUGGCGGGGGAGCACAAUCACUAGUGAAUU
rnacentral:rRNA from 1 species